UCGUCCGUUCUUCUCUCUGCGAGCCCCCAUUGCUUUCGAGGUCUAGCCGCCGUAGCUAAGGACAGACAAUCUGCUCCAAGUAUGGAGCAUGGCUAUAGAUGUGAAGACAGGAAGGAUCUUACGGCAAAGCAAGCAAAGGACCAUUCUUGCUCCUGCCAUUCCUUCAUCUACGGAGAAGGAACCAAACCACCUGGUGACUUCGCCGAGCGCGUCGGAGGAGCUUUAGGGUGUCCACCUGGGUGUUCAAUCAGUUUUAAGUGAUUGAGCACUGUAGAAAUGCAAUUGAUAUACCCAAAGGCCCCCAAUCUAAUUUACAGUUAUGGUGCGAUGGAGCACUGUAGAAAUGCAAUUGAUGUUGUAGUUUUAUUUUGUUUUGGUGGGGAUAAUUGAAUUACAUGGUAGUGAAACUACCUUAUUUAAAUAAAAAAUCAGGCUACUUCUGGAUA